rnacentral:lncRNA from 1 species
AAGUCUCCACAGAAGUCUCCACAGAAGGCCAAUUAAGAGAGUUCGAGAUCGACCGAGACGGUCACUCCUCGAUCUGUCCCUCUCUCUCUGUUUUUCCGUUGCGAUGCGCCCUCCUGCGUCGUGCGGGAGCAGAGCUUGUUCGGCGACAGACGGGUUUGGCCGAUACGGAAAUUGAGGGGACGUGAUUUGAAUGACUUCACUUAGCCCACGUUCUGCGCGGGUGUGACCUCCCCUCGGAAACGCUGCUCCAACUUACUGGUGCAGAAAGAAUUGCAAAAUGCAGCGGGUGUUUGGAACUUGCCCAAGCCGCUGUCCGGACAUCCAUGUUUCUCCAUCCGUCGUGUUCGUUUGAUCCCUUUUGUUGGCUCUACGCUAGGAUGCAGGCUCAUUUGGGGCAGUCGAUGAGCGUACAAGUCGCAAGGAGGGGUGCAAAUAGCUUCACUGUUCGAUGUGUCGUGUACAAUAAAAUCAUUUCCGCAUCGUUGCGCCUAUGGCAUGGUUACAAUCCGGGAGACACCUCACUGGGUCUCUCUCUUCUGCGCUUGUGGCUCUAUCGCUGAGGCGACCUCGAAAUGCCGUUGUACAAUUACACGCCCGUUCCGCUCUUUUCUCGCAAGUCAUAACCGUGCAUUCUGUUGUGGUCUGUUGUUCCACGUUAUAUCGGAAAAGAUGGCCAUCUGCGGAAGGAGGCAAAACGGAGGGAGAGAGCGAAGGUUUCGACACUGCCUUUCCAACGUGUGUACGGAACCCUCGUCUUCGCCUUCCGCUUCCUCCUGUGUUUUCCCUAUUUGUCAUCUUGCAUCCUUUACGGCUCUGUAUAUUUUCAUGUUCUUGGCUACGGCAUUCACCAUCCAUCAUUUCACAGGCAUAUGCCCACUGCACGCCCAUCUCGACAUGGCUUGCUUGCCACUCCGCAGAUUCUUCCGUCGUUCUGUGUCUGCUUGUGUGGACAAGAAGUUCCGUUCCGGUUUGUUUUGUCGCAUUCAAUCUAUCACCAUCCGAGACCCUCUGCCGCGUGCACCCCGGCCAGUCCCCGAGCUGCGGGUAGCAAAAAACCGACAACCCGCAAUUCCCG